CCUACGGGCGGCAGCAGUGAGGAAUAUUGGUCAAUGGUCGGGAGACUGAACCAGCCAAGCCGCGUGAGGGAUGAAGGUACAGAGUAUCGUAAACCUCUUUUGUCAGGGAACAAAGGCGGGGACGUGUCCCCGGAUGAGUGUACCUGAAGAAAAAGCAUCGGCUAACUCCGUGCCAGCAGCCGCGGUAAUACGGAGGAUGCGAGCGUUAUCCGGAUUUAUGGGGUUUAAAGGGUGCGCAGGCGGUCUGUUAAGUCAGCGGUCAAAGCCCGGGGCUCAACCCCGGCCCGCCAUUGAAACUGGCAGUCUCGAGUUGGAGAGAAGUAUGCGGAAUGCGCGGUGUAGCGGUGAAAUGCAUAGAUAUCGCGCAGAACUCCGAUUGCGAAGGCAGCAUGCCGGCUCCACACUGACGCUGAGGCACGAAAGCGUGGGUAUCGAACAGGAUUAGAUACCCGGGUAGUC
rnacentral:rRNA from 1 species